GACGAACCGAGCGAACGUUGUUCGGAAUCACUGGGCUUAAAGGGCGCGUAGGCGGGUCGGCAAGUCAGGGGUGAAAGCCCCCAGCUCAACUGGGGAAGUGCCUCUGAUACUGCCGGUCUCGAGGGAGGUAGGGGCGUGCGGAACUUCCGGUGGAGCGGUGAAAUGCGUAGAUAUCGGAAGGAACACCGGUGGCGAAAGCGGCGCGCUGGACCUCUUCUGACGCUGAGGCGCGAAAGCCAGGGGAGCGAACGGG
rnacentral:rRNA from 1 species